GGCUGGUCCGAUGGUAGUGGGUUAUCAGAACUUAUUAACAUUAGUGCCCCUAAAGUUGGUACAUAACCCUCCACUGCUACAUUUGGCUAAAAA
rnacentral:Y_RNA from 1 species